GCUUAGUAAUUCAUUCAAUAGUAUUUUCUAGUUAGAAUUAUAAGUGUUUAAAGUGUAUUCAUUGCAUGUAAAAUAUAUCGGCAUGCGAUGACGUCACAUCCGGUUUCGCCGCGUCUUGUGGGAAAACACCGGUUUGAAAUUAGCGCGAGGGUGGGGGCUUUCCACGAGGCUCACCUGAGCACAAGCAGUUUUGCAGGCAUGAGAAAUCACAGUGAGAGCAACGCUAGUUUGACUGCUCUUUUCAGAGAGACAUGUGAAGUGAUUCACUUUGGAUGAUGGAAUUUGAAGGCAGAGGAAAAGGAUAACGGCAGGAUUCUUAGCCGUGUCGAGGAAGAGACAGAUCUCGGGGCCACGUCCUGCAAGGUUGCCAGGGUGGUUCCGUGGGCAUAUGAGUAUCAACAAUAUCAUUCUCCCCUACUCCUGUGUACUGAAGUAUCAUUAAGCUAUCAUGAAUCUUGGAGUGAAUCACUGUGUGAGAUUGUCACGGUGAAAUGUGCAGUUUUUCAAACCUCUGCCGGCCCACCGACAGGC